UGGGGAAUAUUGCACAAUGGGCGCAAGCCUGAUGCAGCAACGCCGCGUGCGGGAUGACGGCCUUCGGGUUGUAACCGCUUUAGUAAGGAAGAAGGGGAGCUUGCUCCUUGACGGUACUUGCAGAAAAAGGACCGGCUAACUACGUGCCAGCAGCCGCGGUAAUACGUAGGGUCCGAGCGUUGUCCGGAAUUAUUGGGCGUAAAGAGCUCGUAGGCGGUUUGUCGCGUCUGCUGUGAAAUCCCGAGGCUCAACCUCGGGCCUGCAGUGGGUACGGGCAGACUUGAGUGGUGUAGGGGAGACUGGAAUUCCUGGUGUAGCGGUGGAAUGCGCAGAUAUCAGGAGGAACACCGAUGGGCGAAGGCAGGUCUCUGGGCGACUUACUGACGCUGAGGAGCGAAAGCGUGGGGGAGCGGAACAGGAUUAGAUACCCUGGUAGUCCACGCCGUAAACGUUGGGCGCUAGAUGUGGGGACCUUUCCACGGUUUCCGUGUCGUAGCUAACGC
rnacentral:rRNA from 1 species